UGCAUCUGAGGCCAGUGAGGAUGAGAACCUCCGGGGGCAGGAGGUUCGACUCGAGCGAAGCGAGAGAACGUUGCGUCAGCAACGGCCCG
rnacentral:sRNA from 1 species